rnacentral:rRNA from 1 species
GCUAAACGCGAAGAACCUUACCAAGGCUUGACAUAUGGGGAAAUCCGGCAGAGAUGUCGGGUCCGCAAGGGUCCCAUACAGGUGGUGCAUGGUUGUCGUCAGCUCGUGUCGUGAGAUGUUGGGUUAAGUCCCGCAACGAGCGCAACCCUUGUCCUUAGUUGCCAUCAUUAAGUUGGGAACUCUAAGGAGACCGCCGGUGACAAACCGGAGGAAGGUGGGGAUGACGUCAAGUCAUCAUGGCCUUUAUGGCCAGGGCUACACACGUGCUACAAUGGCAGGUACAGAGGGAGGCCAACUCGCGAGAGGGAGCCAAUCCCAGAAAGCCUGUCUUAGUCCGGAUUGGAGUCUGCAACUCGACUCCAUGAAGCUGGAAUCGCUAGUAAUCGCAGAUCAGCAUUGCUGCGGUGAAUACGUUCCCGGGUCUUGUACACACCG